rnacentral:rRNA from 1 species
UACGGAGGGGGUUAGCGUUGUUCGGAAUUACUGGGCGUAAAGCGCACGUAGGCGGACUGGAAAGUUGGGGGUGAAAUCCCGGGGCUCAACCCCGGAACUGCCUCCAAAACUUCCAAUCUAGAGAUCGAGAGAGGUGAGUGGAAUUCCAAGUGUAGAGGUGAAAUUCGUAGAUAUUUGGAGGAACACCAGUGGCGAAGGCGGCUCACUGGCUCGAUACUGACGCUGAGGUGCGAAAGCGUGGGGAGCAAAC